rnacentral:lncRNA from 1 species
UGAUUUUCAAGGCUACUGUGGAGCUGAGAAGAAAAUGGGGACAGGACAAGUUAAAACACCACAAACCUUAUUGAUCAUACGGAAAGUCAGCUUUUUUCUCAAAUACAUUUUCUUUGGGUUGUUGCAAUCGUUUGGUUAAUUUCCAGAGUUUAAAAAAGUUUAUUUUGAUCAUUCCUGCCAGUGUCCUCAUUGAUUUUAUGCAGAAUCAGAUAUUCAAAGAUCCAUACUCCACCAUUCUGGAAAUGUUUCUCUACGAUUUUUUUUAAUGGGAUAUAUAGGAUUUCUCUUAAAUUAAUAUAAGCAGCAUCUACUACAUUCACUUAGAACACUAGAUAUUACCACCCAUGAUAGACCAUCUAAAUGAGAAAACUGCUUCUCUUCUCAAAUUUCAUAGAAUGUCCAUGCUGGUUUCCAAAGCACAUGGCAUCUACCUUCAGUAAGCAACACAGAAUAUUAGAACACCAGAGUUCAAGUUCGUAUCUAUACACUCUUCAGCUCCAACUAAGAGGGCCUAAGGGACAGACUGUUCAUCAAUGACUGUAGACUAAUGGUUUUCACCCCUUCAGGCCCACAGCCACUUUUUAUCAGAAAUAUUUUUAAACAUGUUUUAUUAUUCUAAAACACAAACAAUAUAACUUACGUGAGGCAUAUUUUUAAAUCAUCUAUCAUGAUUAAAGGUAUCUUUAAUAUCUAACUGUAAUGUAACAGACAAAUAAAAGGAAGCAACUUACGGUAAUGUGUAAUUCAAACUGGAGAUGGCCAAAACUCCUGAUGACACAAUCAUUAGAUGCUUGCACAUGUACAUAUAAUUACCAUUAAUGUGCCCACUACAAAUGCAGACUACUGCAGUAGUUUUGACCUGGAACUCAAAUGCCAUGAGCAAUGUUGCCACUAGUGACAGUUUUUAAAAUGAUAGAAAACUCUUGGUUACGUACUGAACAAAGACUACGACCUUCCCUCACUUAACUGGUAAUUGCAUUUUUGAGCAAAUCAAGUACUGCAGAUCUACAACAAAAAUAUAAAAUGGAGUUAUAAUCUAAGCUCAAAAAAUUAUUGUCAAUGUCCACCCGUCAGAGAUCAUGAGGAACAGAUCUGCAGUUGAAUCGAGUUGGGUUUAUCAGCACACUUUUACACAAGAGAGAUCACACACCAUGGGGAACCAUGGGGUGCCUCAGUAUGAGGGUGCUGGGAAGGGCUUUUUAAAGGAUUUGGGGUUGUGUUGGGUGAUUUCAAGAAGGGCUCCAUGAAUCAUGGUUUUACUCUGGAUUAAGUGCUUUCAGAAAGCAAGGGAAAUUCUAAAUGAGUGUAAAUAUUGAAAUUUUUAAUCUAGGAGGAAGAAGGAACAGAGUGAUCUAAUGGGUAAUGGAGCAAAUAUCACACAUAUAAGCCAAGAGACAAGAAUGUUUGGUCGCUCUAUGAUUUACACAGAAUCUUGCUAAGUUCCAACAUGCCUAUGGAGUGUCUUAAUUUUUGUCUUCCUCCACCACACUCAGAGUGGACUUGUCAGAUGUUGGUGUUAUAUAACAUUGUUUAUAUUCAACAGAAUAUAAUAGCCUAGCCAUUAGGGCUAAAUCAGCUUCCAGCUGACAGCUGUAGGGGUUGCUCUUCCUUUCUCAUUAUAAACAGGAUUUCUAUGUACAUAAUUAUUCAGCGAGGUUCAAAGAAGUCAUGAGAUACAGGACAAUUCUUUGUUGUCUAAAACUGUCCUAUGCUCUUCAGGCACCUAGCAUCUCUAUUCACUUUCACUCACAUUUCAUUGGCCAUUGUUAACCACAUGGCCUCAAAUUAAUUAAGGAAGCUGAGAAAUGUAGAACAAAUGGAAUGUUUAGUGAGCAUUACUAUCUCUACUACAUGCAACCUUCAAUAAAUUAUUUUACUUCUCUCAGUAUUAGUUACCUACCUGUAACAUGAGGUUACAUGGUACAUAAUGGUCAUUCUUCCCUCUUGGGGAGAAUCACAUGAGAUAAUACAUAAAGGAACUUUAAUAAGCUCUAAGAGUUAUAUAGAUUUAAAAGGCCCAUAGUACCUAUAUGUUGGAGUUAAUGUGCCAUCACUUCUACACACACACACACACACACACACACACACACACACAUACACCCUUACCUAUUUAGAGGUCUGGGUCAAAGAAUACAUACUCUGGGGGAUGUAGAAUUAGAAUGUGAUUUUACUAGGGCCAGGCGUGGUGGCUCACACCUGUAAUCCCAGCACUUUGGGAGGCCAAGACAGGCAGAUCACCUGAGGUCGGGAGUUCAAGACUAGCCUGACCAACACAGAGAAACCCUGUAUCUACUAAAAAUUUCCUGGAAGUGUAUCCAUUGGCCCAAACUUGGUGAUGUGGCCACACCAAGAUACAGCGAUAAAAUCUAGGAAAAGUUUUAUCUUUAUUCCAGGAUGCCAUUCCCUAGCUAAUUAGGUGGGAAAUCUGUAGAAGGAGAAAAACGAGUAUUAGGGAAUACAGGGUAGCUCCUACCACAUGCAUAUUCUAAAAUUCAUUGUUACUUGGUUUAGGAUGCAGUUCAAAUAACACAGUUACCUAAAGAACUACACCAAUGUAUCCUUUGUUAGACUCUCAACCCUAAAGAUUUAGGUUAGAUCUUUCAGAUUGUAUUUUAAAAUGUCUUUAGUGCAGUAUCAAUUCUCACCAGACAGAACAGCUAAGUAAAAUAAACAAGCUCUUAACAAAUUAUUAAUUUUUAAGAAAGGAAAGGGCAUUUAGAGCAAAUAUUUUCUCUAAAAAAUACUAAUAUAUCAUGUUUUAUAUCCUACAGAUAUUCCUGCAAUCUGUUUUCCUUGGGAAAGUCACUCAAUAACCUGAAGUUCAGUUAUAUCAUCUAAAGUAUUACAUAUUUAUCAUGAGGGUUAAAUGAGAUUACACAUGUCAAAUGCCUUGUAAAUAGUAGAAUUUUAUACAAAUAUAAAGUUUUGCACCUUCAAAGCUAUCACUCCAAUAA